rnacentral:rRNA from 1 species
UCCAGGCAAAUCCGGAUAAUCAAGGCUGAGGUGUGAUGACGAGGCACUACGGUGCUGAAGUAACAAAUGCCCUGCUUCCAGGAAAAGCCUCUAAGCAUCAGGUAACAUCAAAUCGUACCCCAAACCGACACAGGUGGUCAGGUAGAGAAUACCAAGGCGCUUGAGAGAACUCGGGUGAAGGAACUAGGCAAAAUGGUGCCGUAACUUCGGGAGAAGGCACGCUGGUGUGUAGGUGAAGCCCCUGCGGGUGGAGCUGAGACCAGUCGAAGAUACCAGCUGGCUGCAACUGUUUAUUAAAAACACAGCACUGUGCAAACACGAAAGUGGACGUAUACGGUGUGACGCCUGCCCGGUGCCGGAAGGUUAAUUGAUGGGGUUAUCCGUAAGGAGAAGCUCUUGAUCGAAGCCCCGGUAAACGGCGGCCGUAACUAUAACGGUCCUAAGGUAGCGAAAUUCCUUGUCGGGUAAGUUCCGACCUGCACGAAUGGCGUAAUGAUGGCCAGGCUGUCUCCACCCGAGACUCAGUGAAAUUGAACUCGCUGUGAAGAUGCAGUGUACCCGCGGCAAGACGGAAAGACCCCGUGAACCUUUACUAUAGCUUGACACUGAACAUUGAGCCUUGAUGUGUAGGAUAGGUGGGAGGCUUUGAAGCGUGGACGCCAGUCUGCGUGGAGCCAACCUUGAAAUACCACCCUUUAAUGUUUGAUGUUCUAACGUUGGCCCCUUACCGGGGUUGCGGACAGUGUCUGGUGGGUAGUUUGACUGGGGCGGUCUCCUCCCAAAGCGUAACGGAGGAGCACGAAGGUUAGCUAAUCCUGGUCGGACAUCAGGAGGUUAGUGCAAUGGCAUAAGCUAGCUUGACUGCGAGCGUGACGGCGCGAGCAGGUGCGAAAGCAGGUCAUAGUGAUCCGGUGGUUCUGAAUGGAAGGGCCAUCGCUCAACGGAUAAAAGGUACUCCGGGGAUAACAGGCUGAUACCGCCCAAGAGUUCAUAUCGACGGCGGUGUUUGGCACCUCGAUGUCGGCUCAUCACAUCCUGGGGCUGAAGUAGGUCCCAAGGGUAUGGCUGUUCGCCAUUUAAAGUGGUACGCGAGCUGGGUUUAGAACGUCGUGAGACAGUUCGGUCCCUAUCUGCCGUGGGCGCUGGAGAAUUGAGGGGGGCUGCUCCUAGUACGAGAGGACCGGAGUGGACGCAUCACUGGUGUUCGGGUUGUCAUGCCAAUGGCACUGCCCGGUAGCUAAAUGCGGAAGAGAUAAGUGCUGAAAGCAUCUAAGCACGAAACUUGCCCCGAGAUGAGUUCUCCCUGAGACUUUAAGUCUCCUGAAGGAACGUUGAAGACGACGACGUUGAUAGGCCGGGUGUGUAAGCGCAGCGAUGCGUUGAGCUAACCGGUACUAAUGAACCGUGAGGCUUAACCUU